rnacentral:rRNA from 1 species
GACGAACGCUGGCGGCGUGCUUAACACAUGCAAGUCGAACGGAAAGGCCCUGUUUUUGUUGGGUGCUCGAGUGCCGAACGGUUGAUUAACACGUGAGUAACCUGCCCUUGACUUUGGGCUAACUUCAGGAAACUGUGGUUAAUACCGGUUUUGUGCUUCUGCUGCAUGUUGGGGUUUUGAAAGCUUGGUCGGUUGGGGAUGGACUCUCGGCUUAUUAGCUUGUUGGUGGGGUAGUGGCUUACCAAGGCCUUGACGGGUAGCCGGCCUGAGAGGGUGACCGGCCACAAUGGGACUGAGAUACGGCCCAGACUCCUAAGGGAGGCAACAGUGGGGAAUAUUGCACAAUGGGCGGAAGACUGAUACAGAGAAGCCGCGUGCGGGAUGACGGCCUUCGGGUUGUGAAACGCUUUCGCCGGUGACGAGGAGUAAGUGACGGUAAUGGGUAAAGAAGCACCGGCUAAAUACGUG